rnacentral:rRNA from 1 species
GAGAGGCCCAAACGUUAUUCGGAUUUACUGGGCUUAAAGAGUUCGUAGGCGGCGCAGAAAGCAGGGUGUGAAAGCCCUCGGCUCAACCGAGGAAUUGCGCUCUAGACUACUGUGCUUGAGGAAGCUAGAGGUGAGCGGAACUGAUGGUGGAGCGGUGAAAUGCGUUGAUAUCAUCAGGAACACCGGAGGCGAAGGCGGCUCACUGGGGCUUUUCUGACGCUGAGGAACGAAAGCCAGGGGAGCGAACGGGAUUAGAUACCCCGGUAGUCCUGGCCGUAAACGAUGAGCACUAGGCCGGAGGGCUGCACAGC